AGCCGCAUGCGAAGAUCGAUCUUCGUAUGCGGUCCCUUAAGAGGGCCGCAUGCGAAAAUCAAUCUUCGCAUGCGGCC
rnacentral:pre_miRNA from 11 species